rnacentral:lncRNA from 1 species
GUCACGACCCGAAACUCCCCAUCGAGCCCGUGACAACCGCCACGAGGCCUCGACAGACAUUCUUCACCCCGAAUGCCUAUCGAAACCCCGUAAGGCUUAGCAUCAACUUUCGCAUCUCCCCGGUGAGCAACAAUUAUAAAAUCUCGCAUUUAAAAAAAUCAUAAGUCAUUUUCAAAUAAGAACAAUAAAAUAUUAUUUUCUGGCUCAUAGGGGCAUUUUCGUAAUUUUUCGUCAAAAAUCUCAAAACUUGCUAAAAAUGUAAUAGGUAAGCAGAAAAUAUAUAUUUAAUGAUUUAAAAACAAAAUAAGUAUCUAAAACGUUCAUUUGAAAGCAAAUUGUUAACAACUAGUACUAUUCAAAAAUAAUUAAUAAAAUAUUCUAUUUUCUCAUAAAAUAAAUUUUUAUAGAAAUAUUCGUAAAUAAUUUUUCGCACAUGAAAGUAAAGUAAAAAUUGUAUGAAUAGAAAUACAGAUAACCAAAAUAUAAGUUUUGAUCUGCAAUGACACGUGGGCUCCAAUUGACCAAGAGGAUGUAAGACUGUGAACUCUUACUUUCUAUAAUGCAGUUCCGAGCUUAGUUCUCGUCCUACUCGACUAUCUACAAACUGUCCUG